rnacentral:rRNA from 1 species
UACAGAGGGGGCAAGCGUUGUUCGGAAUUACUGGGCGUAAAGGGCGCGUAGGCGGCCGCCUAAGUCAGACGUGAAAUCCCUCGGCUCAACCGGGGAACUGCGUCUGAUACUGGGUGGCUUGAAUCCGGGAGAGGGAUGCGGAAUUCCAGGUGUAGCGGUGAAAUGCGUAGAUAUCAGGAGGAACACCGAUAGCGAAGGCAGCUCGCUGGGACGGUACUGACGCUGAGGCGCGAAAGCGUGGGGAGCGAACAGG